rnacentral:rRNA from 1 species
CCAAUAGCGUAUAUUAAAGUUGUUGCAGUUAAAAAGCUCGUAGUUGAACUUCGGGAUCAAUUAGUUGGUCAUGCCUUGGUAUGUACUGAUUUUAUUGGUUCUCACCUUCUAAAGAACUAUAAUGUCAUUUAUUUGAUGUUAUAGGGAAUUAGGACUGUUACCUUGAAAAAAUUAGAGUGUUUAAAGCAGGCUCACGCUUGAAUACAUUAGCAUGGAAUAAUGAAAUAGGACAUCGCAUUCUAUUUUGUUGGUUUCUAGGAUCGAUGUAAUGAUUAAUAGGGAUAGUUGGGGGCAUUAGUAUUCAAUUGUCAGAGGUGAAAUUCUUGGAUUUAUUGAAGACUAACUACUGCGAAAGCAUUUGCCAAGGAUGUUUUCAUUAAUCAAGAAUGAAAGUUAGGGGAUCGAAGACGAUCAGAUACCGUCGUAGUCUUAACCAUAAACUAUGCCGACUAGGGAUCGGAUGAUGUUGAUUUUUUAAUGACUCAUUCGGCACCUUACG